GGCACCAGAGUGCAAACGAUUAAAAUUUCAGAUUAAAAAUUAGCCGUGCAAAUCGCCGGCGUGAUGGUCAUGCACGCGGGCACCACUGCUUGUAUGUGAAUAGUUGGAAAUAUUAUUCCGUCAACGCGGCGCGCAGUUUCACGGGUGGCGGGCACGAAAAAGUGAUUAUUUAGCGGCGGCCGCGACCCCGCCCUUCGACAGAUCCGAUUCUGCAAGGCUUCAAUCACGACUCAUCGCCACUACGCAUUUUUUUACUUGAUUUGGCAGAAAAGAGAGCUAAACACCGCUUUUGCGACGGCGGCACCGCGCAGUUCGCAGGCCAGCAACAAUGGAGAGGAUCGAUGGUGCCAAUGCCAAAGGAGACGUGGACAGUAAUGACCCGUCAUUUCGGGAUUUUGGCAGACGAAAGAAGUAAAAGUGAAAAGCAGCAGAGGACUCACGCAGAGUGAAACAUUCGAGAAAGAUAAAUGCAUUAUGAUGCGAUAAUGGCGAGCAGGGGAUUCUACCAGAGCACCGCAGGGCAAUCGUCGACCUGCGGCUCGUGGUGCUUGACCUCCUCUCGCCUGCUCGCAAUCAUCAUCUUUUUCAUCGGAAAAUCUUGUACGAGUGUUUAUUUAUAAAUUUACAACCAGCAAUCAACACGUCCUUGCAACAAAGCAGUUCAAAAUAUAAA